rnacentral:rRNA from 1 species
AGCGUACACGGUGGAUGCCCUGGCAGUCAGAGGCGAUGAAGGACGUGCUAAUCUGCGAUAAGCGUCGGUAAGGUGAUAUGAACCGUUAUAACCGGCGAUUUCCGAAUGGGGAAACCCAGUGUGUUUCGACACACUAUCAUUAACUGAAUCCAUAGGUUAAUGAGGCGAACCGGGGGAACUGAAACAUCUAAGUACCCCGAGGAAAAGAAAUCAACCGAGAUUCCCCCAGUAGCGGCGAGCGAACGGGGAGCAGCCCAGAGCCUGAAUCAGUGUGUGUGUUAGUGGAAGCGUCUGGAAAGGCGCGCGAUACAGGGUGACAGCCCCGUACACAAAAAUGCACAUGCUGUGAGCUCGAUGAGUAGGGCGGGACACGUGGUAUCCUGUCUGAAUAUGGGGGGACCAUCCUCCAAGGCUAAAUACUCCUGACUGACCGAUAGUGAACCAGUACCGUGAGGGAAAGGCGAAAAGAACCCCGGCGAGGGGAGUGAAAAAGAACCUGAAACCGUGUACGUACAAGCAGUGGGAGCACGCUUAGGCGUGUGACUGCGUACCUUUUGUAUAAUGGGUCAGCGACUUAUAUUCUGUAGCAAGGUUAACCGAAUAGGGGAGCCGAAGGGAAACCGAGUCUUAACUGGGCGUUAAGUUGCAGGGUAUAGACCCGAAACCCGGUGAUCUAGCCAUGGGCAGGUUGAAGGUUGGGUAACACUAACUGGAGGACCGAACCGACUAAUGUUGAAAAAUUAGCGGAUGACUUGUGGCUGGGGGUGAAAGGCCAAUCAAACCGGGAGAUAGCUGGUUCUCCCCGAAAGCUAUUUAGGUAGCGCCUCGUGAAUUCAUCUCCGGGGGUAGAGCACUGUUUCGGCAAGGGGGUCAUCCCGACUUACCAACCCGAUGCAAACUGCGAAUACCGGAGAAUGUUAUCACGGGAGACACACGGCGGGUGCUAACGUCCGUCGUGAAGAGGGAAACAACCCAGACCGCCAGCUAAGGUCCCAAAGUCAUGGUUAAGUGGGAAACGAUGUGGGAAGGCCCAGACAGCCAGGAUGUUGGCUUAGAAGCAGCCAUCAUUUAAAGAAAGCGUAAUAGCUCACUGGUCGAGUCGGCCUGCGCGGAAGAUGUAACGGGGCUAAACCAUGCACCGAAGCUGCGGCAGCGACGCUUAUGCGUUGUUGGGUAGGGGAGCGUUCUGUAAGCCUGUGAAGGUGUGCUGUGAGGCAUGCUGGAGGUAUCAGAAGUGCGAAUGCUGACAUAAGUAACGAUAAAGCGGGUGAAAAGCCCGCUCGCCGGAAGACCAAGGGUUCCUGUCCAACGUUAAUCGGGGCAGGGUGAGUCGACCCCUAAGGCGAGGCCGAAAGGCGUAGUCGAUGGGAAACAGGUUAAUAUUCCUGUACUUGGUGUUACUGCGAAGGGGGGACGGAGAAGGCUAUGUUGGCCGGGCGACGGUUGUCCCGGUUUAAGCGUGUAGGCUGGUUUUCCAGGCAAAUCCGGAAAAUCAAGGCUGAGGCGUGAUGACGAGGCACUACGGUGCUGAAGCAACAAAUGCCCUGCUUCCAGGAAAAGCCUCUAAGCAUCAGGUAACAUCAAAUCGUACCCCAAACCGACACAGGUGGUCAGGUAGAGAAUACCAAGGCGCUUGAGAGAACUCGGGUGAAGGAACUAGGCAAAAUGGUGCCGUAACUUCGGGAGAAGGCACGCUGAUAUGUAGGUGAAGUCCCUCGCGGAUGGAGCUGAAAUCAGUCGAAGAUACCAGCUGGCUGCAACUGUUUAUUAAAAACACAGCACUGUGCAAACACGAAAGUGGACGUAUACGGUGUGACGCCUGCCCGGUGCCGGAAGGUUAAUUGAUGGGGUUAGCGGUAACGCGAAGCUCUUGAUCGAAGCCCCGGUAAACGGCGGCCGUAACUAUAACGGUCCUAAGGUAGCGAAAUUCCUUGUCGGGUAAGUUCCGACCUGCACGAAUGGCGUAAUGAUGGCCAGGCUGUCUCCACCCGAGACUCAGUGAAAUUGAACUCGCUGUGAAGAUGCAGUGUACCCGCGGCAAGACGGAAAGACCCCGUGAACCUUUACUAUAGCUUGACACUGAACAUUGAGCCUUGAUGUGUAGGAUAGGUGGGAGGCUUUGAAGUGUGGACGCCAGUCUGCAUGGAGCCGACCUUGAAAUACCACCCUUUAAUGUUUGAUGUUCUAACGUUGACCCGUGAUCCGGGUUGCGGACAGUGUCUGGUGGGUAGUUUGACUGGGGCGGUCUCCUCCUAAAGAGUAACGGAGGAGCACGAAGGUUGGCUAAUCCUGGUCGGACAUCAGGAGGUUAGUGCAAUGGCAUAAGCCAGCUUGACUGCGAGCGUGACGGCGCGAGCAGGUGCGAAAGCAGGUCAUAGUGAUCCGGUGGUUCUGAAUGGAAGGGCCAUCGCUCAACGGAUAAAAGGUACUCCGGGGAUAACAGGCUGAUACCGCCCAAGAGUUCAUAUCGACGGCGGUGUUUGGCACCUCGAUGUCGGCUCAUCACAUCCUGGGGCUGAAGUAGGUCCCAAGGGUAUGGCUGUUCGCCAUUUAAAGUGGUACGCGAGCUGGGUUUAGAACGUCGUGAGACAGUUCGGUCCCUAUCUGCCGUGGGCGCUGGAGAAUUGAGGGGGGCUGCUCCUAGUACGAGAGGACCGGAGUGGACGCAUCACUGGUGUUCGGGUUGUCAUGCCAAUGGCACUGCCCGGUAGCUAAAUGCGGAAGAGAUAAGUGCUGAAAGCAUCUAAGCACGAAACUUGCCCCGAGAUGAGUUCUCCCUGACUCCUUGA